AUUCGAGUUGCGUGCCUUAUUCAACACGAUCUUCGGGCGAUUUUAAUGCAUUAAUAUAAUUUUUUGUUGAUUCGUCAACACCUUAGCGGUCAUGACUUUAAAUUUGCACGCAGCACGCGCUAAAUCUUUCCACAUGGCAACAUUUCGUAAAAACUUUCGAUCGCGUGUUUAGCAAAUUGUUAUAUUCCGGUCCGAUUUCAACAUGGAUAAUGUGUCUUCGCAAAGCAGGUUGCAUCGCUUUCCACCAGGCGUAUACGCUGCAACUCUUUUCAAAAUUGGCCACUUAAUGCUGCAAUCUCUUCCAUUUCGUUUUAGAUCCCACAUAUGUAUUUAUAAGGCUUUGUUUUGGAGGAGUAUAGGUGAAGUUAUUGAACGACUUUUAUCCUUGAAUGAGUUGGCUGUUAUUCGAAUAUUUCUUUGGUAUUCCCAUUAUCAGUUGUUGGCAACUCGACUUUGCGCACCAUGUUGUUUAGAUGUACUUGGCACUUUCGGUCUAGUGGGCACUCACUUGUUCUCCUGCAGAUGUCUUGACUGGGUUUUGGUGUGGUAGGGUUUCUGGUUUACAGACGACGAUGAUUGUCUCAAGCUAUAAAGAUAAAAGUUUAACAUUCUCGAUACAUGAAUAAAAAAGCUUCAAGUGUGUUGCGGUUGAAGAUCAUAUCAAGCGGUUCGUCGUGGGAAAAUGCUUAUUAAUCAAUUGGAAGGACGUUUCAGGCAACUGAACAGGGGAUUGAACCAAACGAAGUUUCUACAGCGUCUUCUAUACAUAGUUGGCAAAAUGGAUGAAUUCCCACCGCCCGAGUAUUACAAAGAUACACCAUCAUAGUUCAUAGAUAUCAUCAUCAGUAGCUUCCAUUCGGAGCCCGUUUUCGUAAUUAAAACUGGUGCAGUAGAAUCAAAGGAAAAUUGAUCGGAAGAGAGUAAGAAGAAGAUUUACGUUUGUUGAUUAUGGAAGAGAUAUUCUUGAUUAUAGAAGGUGAGUGGUUAGAACUGCUUUCGAUUUAGA